rnacentral:lncRNA from 1 species
AGCUCUGCUCUACAGAAGCUGGGAACGCCAAGCUCUGCCUGCUCCUACAACAGGAAUAAUUAAUCGGGUUGGUGUGAACCCGGCCUCUGACACAUGAUGAAGAGCUCUUGCUUGCCGGAGGCAGCGAACGUCCGUCGUUCUGUGGCAAUGAAGCGCAGAGGACGGGGACGAGGCAUGAUGGGGGGAGGAAAGCAGCUACAAGAACGGAGUACCCAAGGGAAGGGAAACAAUGGGCUGUUCACUUGUUGGCCGAAGACCGUGCAUGCGAGCGGCGUGUACUAGUGGCGCCAUCUGGCCAUCACAUUCCUGGCGUCUUCUGUUCUUCUUCCGUCAACAUUCAUGAUUCACUGAGGUGGUAUGACUGUAAUCAUAACUGGGGGCCUGGGAGUCGAGUUUUGAGACAGGAUGGAGGGUAAUAGCUGGAGGCUUGCGUCAUCUGGGGAAGAUCGUCAGCAGCACUCGAUACCUUCUGAAAAUCUCUACAUAAGAACUUGCGCUACAGACAAAGAGGGAAAAAUUCAAGGGAAAGGAGGUGAAAGGAGGUUAGAAAAGGAGAAAGAAAAUAUGAAAGAAGGAGGACGUGGGGGUCGGUGGAGGGAAGGUUUAGAGGCUGAGUGGAUGCAUGUAAUGAUGCCAACACAGGCGCGCGGACACACAGACCAAGAGAAGGAAGUGUAAAGAACAGAAUGAAGAGGUUUUAGUGGCGAGCACGGAGACAGGAGUAGAAUGAUAGCAGAACAGUUCCUCUGACAGUCGAUGUUAGUUGUUUGUCUUAGCCCUGACUAAACCUCACAUCCAUCUUGUAUAAUCUCUCUCUCACACUCUCUUUUUACUAAUUCGACACUUUUUAUGAGGUUUUACGAUAAUGGCAUUGUGAUAUGUGUGUGUGAGAGAGAGUGAGAUAUAUAUAUUGGUGUGAGAGAGAUUCAUUCCUUUUUCUUUCAUUAAUUAUGCUUUAACUUAUUACUGACUAAUCUUUCUUUUCUUUGAAAAGGGUUCCUUGCUUCUGGUCUACUCAGUACAAGAGUUUGAGUUUAGCAUGAUUCGUUUUAGUAGUUAACUGGAAAAAAAUUCUGCCAGCAGUCCAGUAAUGUCUCAUGGAGUUCCACACAAAGAAGAAGCUAUUUACACAUGUAACUACUUGUUUACAUGUGUAGAAACUACUAUCGUAAACAGUUUUCAUGCGUAAACACAGCUUGGCACACGUACCUGGAGUAAUCUUACGUCAUGUGUAAAUAUUCUUGCCUAAAGGUUAGUUUAAAUGUACAGACACAUUACUUUAUCUUGUGUAAGUGUAGUCUAUAUAUAUCUACAAUCAUAUGUGUACCAAAUUUUUCAGACCGAGAUUUUUGUUUACGCGUGAUAAAACUGUGAUUACUAGACAAACACUUUGUGUUGAACUGUCUGCCGACAUCAACCAGCUGUACAAGUUCACAUGCAGGUCAGAGAAAGGUCACGUGAAACAAAGUGUGGCGAUGAUUAUUAAGCUUUAAGGGAAUUCUUUAAGAUUGUCGGCAGAGGGCGCUGUCCAGUAUAACGAGCUAUAUAAUUAGUAAUUACGAACAGGUAUGUAUGCUUUCACAGUAGAAGGUGUCACCAAGAGUCAAAUAAGAGUAAAGACAUAUCAACACGAUUUACAAAGAAGGAAAAGGUCCUUUUCCAAUUGUAAUAAAUGAACAUGUCUAUCCUAAAAUGAAUUUCAGACUUAGUGUCUAAAGAUAGAGAUUAUGACUGCAUUCAGGUAGGCAAGUGAGAGACAAGUGUUGGUUACCGCAGUGUAAAGAAGCAUUCAUGGAGUAGGCACACAAAGAGAUCGAGAAAGAGAAGGAGCGACAGAGGGAAUGGCCGGUAUCUCUCCAGGUCCGGUUAGCCAUUAUUUUAUGUUGACUGUGGCAAUACUUUAGUCUCAUGGUAAAUGAAUUGCUGGAUUCCUUUUAUCAUAACCAGUCACCUCCGUGCUGAAUGAACUCAUGCGACGUUUAUUUUCAAAACGACUGACAUUAUUUAGCACAACAGGCUUCACGCUGGAAGGUUUUUCCCCAACGAGCAAGCCUCCUACAACGAAGAAAUGAUGGACAAAACAAGAAAAAAGAGAAAUAAAAGAUGAAAAGGAAAAGUAUUAAGAAGCACGAAAAACAACAACAACAACAACAACAACAAAUAUUUAUGUUGUCAAGAUCUACAAGAGGCUGGGCUGCACCUCGUGUUGUUGACUGGGCGGAUGAAACGUGAGAUAAGGUUUUUGUGACCCAGACUGACCCCAGUGGGACUCAAAACACACGUUCAGUAAGAUACAGAACAGAGGAUGUUGCGGUCAGACAGAGGGCACGUCACGCAGACAGCAAGGAUUAUGGGUCAUGGGUUCAGAUUUCAACAGUUCAGCUCAACUUUCUGCUGAGUCGGAGUAAAAUACCAACAAGCCUCUGACUGAAUUGCUGUUGCUCUUUGUUUACCUCUCUUGUCAAGACACGGAGUGUUAUUGCUUCUUUGAUUUAUUCCUUUUGUUUUUGUCUCUGGAUGCAGUCAGUCUUUUUUUCUUUGUCUGGGUCCAGACGGAGAGAAAAUGUUAGACAGCCUCUGUAGUGUGAUGAAUGAGGAAUUAUGAAGCCCCGAAUACUAAAACUGGUUUGCAAUAGUGUAUAACUGGAUUCACAAUAUCAAAACUGGUUUAGCAGUCCAAGGAAGGGAAGUAGACCACAACUGGGGAAAUUGGAAAUUCCAGAAGCUCAUGAGCAAUUAACUUUCACCACUUAAUGUGCUCCAAUAACUAGCCGCCCACAAGUAUGUAAAGCCAUGUCUCAACAAACUUGUCUUUCAAAUAUAUUAGCACAGGUGUCUACAGCAAUCUUACUUUUACUAAAACUAACGGGGAUAGGAAACUGUACUUAUUCAGAUUCCAAAGAAUGUCUGGGACUCGAAACUCUUUUCUUCCGUAAAACACAUACGCCUUCCUUCCUUCCUUCUUGCUUGGCUCCUCUUCUAGUUUAAUUAUUCUCCUGGGAGGAUAUCAUUCUAUACCACUGUCUUCAUUUACAUCAGACGAUUUCUACAAACAACAGGAACCGGAAUCUUUUCUGAGUGUUUUUGACCCAGCGCCUCUCGGAAACUCUGACGAACCACGACUCUGUCGAAAGUAGCACCAGACCGUUCUGACCUCAUGCAUCCAUUACCACAGCGAUCAUUGACCUCACCAGUUCACCCAACCAUCUCACCCACUCUGGACACUGAACAGAAUCGGAUCCCUGGAAUUAUGGCGGGAAUAAAAGUUUGUGAUGGCGCCGUUAUCAGGGUGACUACACGAGUGCGGGAAGCUGCGAUUGAGAGAAGGCAGCAGGAGGUCCACACUCACUUCUUCUCGGUUACACCACCAAAGCCCAGUGCAUGUCUGACAAGUCUAUUUUCAGGUGCCUCGGAGGGCCAAGAUUAGACCUGACGGCGACACCGGAGGUCGGAAAUAACCCUCUGUGGCUGCGGUGUGAGACUAGAAGACUGGGAUGUCAGGUCGUAAACACGUUUUCCACUUUGUUUCUUGAAACAAAUGGCUCUGUGCUCGACAACACAAGGCCCGGGGUAGGUGGGAGUGAGAGAAGGAGGCUGCAUCUGCCGUAUCUCUUGAGGAGGAGGCAGCUGGCCGCUGACUUUGAUGGUUCUCUGAGGGAUGAGGAGCCCGGCGUUUAAAACUUCGCACUUAUGAUGUGACAAAAAAAUCUGGGUAAGACAGAGUAAAUAGAUAAAUAACACAUAAUAAUAAGUGCGGGGACGUUAUAAACAGUAGUGAUAAAUAUAACACAAAUACAAGGCAAAAAAUCCAGUCUAAUAAAUAUACGAAUAAUACACCCAGAUUAACAUGCCAACAUUGUGGUCCUGGCAGGUCUCUUGGACCAUAGACCAAAGAGUAACUACUGGAAAAAACGCACCAACACCUGCAACAUCACGGAACUAUCCCCCUCCUCUCUCCCCCCACAAACCUCCUCUCUUCCAUUCUUACCCCCUUUUUCUCCAUCUACCCCAGGUUUCUAUCCCACACGGUGCCAAACCGCCUUCAGGUAGAACACGUCUCUCUCUCAUCAACAACAACAAAAGAAAAAUAAUGUGGAGACCCUCUCCAUCCUGAGGUACUUCAAACAGCGGCUCUGACAUCAAAAGCACUUAACUCUCCCUGCCAACCUUUCAAGCGGCCAUUGCGGCGGUCGUUCUGUUUGCCAGGAAACCUGCUUGAAUGUGUUGUCUUGGACUGCUUGUUUGAUCUUCGAGGGGCGAAGAAGUAGAAAUAAAUUAAAUAAUUCAUUGAAAUCGUUCCAGCACGAUUUAAAGAACCGUUGGGAUUAAAGUUUGGAAAGAUAUAAUGUUGCAGCACUACGGUUU